AUGGGAGCCUCCCGGGAGAGCACAGUCUCCAGCCAAGAAACCCUGCAGCUGAUUGCUCCGCCCGCCCCAUCAGCUCUUCCAGAACCUUCUUUCCUUGCUGAUCCAGCAUCUGGCUUCCCUCUGGCAAACCGCCCUCCUCACACGACCACAUCCUCCAGCCACCCUGGGGCACUGACCGCCUCCCUCCAGCUUCACCUGCAGAGUCUCUUGGAGGCCCCCUGCCCUCCCUUCUCCCCACCUCCCGCCUCCCGCCCUGCGUGUGGUCCCUCCUCUCUGCUCUCCACCUUCAGGGGCUUUUCCCACCCAGCCCUGCCCCCCUGUUCCUCCCCGCGUCUCGAAUCCUCUCCGCCCUCCCCUCCCUCCCCGCCCUCUGUCUCCUUCCAGCAGCUCCGCGUCCAGUCUCAGCCAGUCCCCCACGUCCCUCCCGGGGGCCCAUGUGUCCCUGGAAGGAAACAUCUUGGGGCAGAGACCCCGACAAAGUCAGAGUCGGCCUCUCUCCCGGGGGCCAGGAAAAACUUCCGGAUCAGCUCCCCGUGCCCCUUUGCUUCCUCUACUGGACCCGUCAGGGGCAGAUCAGGAAGACGGGCGGGAGGGACAGGGAAGAAAGCAAGUGAUGGCAGCAGAGUGACUGCCGCCUCCAAAGGCCUGAGAACAGGCAGCCCAGCCCUGGGCGCCGGCGUCCGUGGACCCUUCUCCACACCUUCCUGUUUUGAAGCUUACGUUGCCUCUGAGAAGACCUGGGAGACCUCGCUCAGGGCAGCGAAGGGGCUGAGGGUCCCGAAUUCAGGUGCCAGGGUGGGUGCCUGGAGCCUCCCCUCUGCAGUCCUGCUCUUGGGCCCUCCAGGCAGCCCGCUGCUCCCUUCCCAGCCCUCCGCCCGAGGAAGAGGGACCUGGGUCUCCCCCGGGAGGGGGUGGCUUCCAAGAACCUGGCGGUUAACUGUCAGGGUGAACCUGAGUUUGGCAAGAUCGAGGCAGGAACACUUGCUCGAAACGAAGCCGGAUUUCCUUCAAGAGCCUGAGGACAGCAGCAGUCCCCCCACCAGGACUCAGGAUGAGACAGGGUUCUGGAGCCGUGACCUUCCGCCCUCCUCCUUCCACACACACGGGCUGUGCCUUCCCCAGAACUGCGCCUCUGGACCUGCUUCCCCAGGAGAGGGGCAGAUCGGCUCUAGGCAACCGUGCAUCGCUGGGGCUCCCUGGCACCUUCCUGCGGGUCCAGGCACUGCACCUGUGUCGCCCCGUUUAAUUCUCACCGCUACCCCCUGUUCUGGGUGGGGAAACUGA
rnacentral:lncRNA from 1 species